AACGAACGCUGGCGGCAGGCCUAACACAUGCAAGUCGAACGCCCUAGCAAUAGGGAGUGGCAGACGGGUGAGUAACACGUGGGAACCUUCCCUAUAGUACGGAAUAUACCAGGGAAACUUGGAGCAAUACCGUAUACGCCCGAGAGGGGAAAGGAUUUAUUCGCUAUAGGAUGGGCCCGGCCGUAGGAUUAGCUAGUUGGUGAGGUAAUGGCUCACCAAGGCGACGAUCCUUAGCUGGUUUGAGAGAACGACCAGCCACACUGGGACUGAGACACGGCCCACGACUCCUACGGGAGGCAGCAGUGGGGAAGUAUUGGACGAAUGGGCGGCAAGCCUGAUCCAGCCAUGCCGCCGUGAGUGAUGAAGGCCUUAGGGUUGUAAAGCUCUUUUGUCCGGGGACGAUAAUGACGGUACCCGGAGAAUAAGUCCCGGCUAACUUCGUGCCAGCAGCCGCCGU
rnacentral:rRNA from 1 species